UGGACAUACCAAACUCGUGCUUUAAAAUUCACAAAACAACUUUGAUUGGCAGAAAAAAAAAAAAAUAAAAAAAUAAAAAAAAAAAAAAAAAAAAAAAAAAAAACUUUGAUUGGCAGGUCAAACUACGUUGACCAUUGAGUCGCAAACGCGGCAGUAAAAUUACGUUGAUUAGCAUUUAAAUCACAGCUAAUCCACACGGAUU
rnacentral:lncRNA from 1 species